GCAACCAAUCUCUUCGUCGCAACCCAUCUUUGAUGCACAUGCACCCUCUUACACCGAAAAAGGCUACUUCUGACACAAAAUCGACCCUGUGCAUACCCUGUGAUACCAACCCCUGUAAAAAGGUUUUAAGUGGUGUAAAAAUAAACUAAACGGCACGCAGUGACAUCAUCCUGUAUCCUCUCCUACGACAGACACGCUUAACAGCGUACAGUAAACACAGCAAAAGCACGAUAAGUUCCGAUGUGAACCAUUAAGGAACUAAUUGGAAGUAGAUGAUCUGAAAUGAAAUUUGAAUGCUCAGCUGCUUCACAUGGUGCACGCGCUAAUGAAGAGUUCCUCUGUUUACUAGGACACGUAUUUACCCCGCACUUUUUAUUGGCUUCUCUCACGCGACAGCUGCACAAAAAAAAGCCACCUUUUCAAAAUCUGCGUGGAUGAUCAGCUUCCUCCCUCUCCCUCUCUCUCGUGUUCGGAAUCAGGAGGAGAAUACACACGGACAGACUGGAGUCGACUAUGAUGAAAAUUAGAGCAGGACAGGAUGUGAAAGCAAAUGCCCUGUUGGUAUGAAGCAGAGCCUCCACUCAUCACAGCAGAGGGGAAAGUUCCAGAGAGACUGAGGAAAAAAAAAAGAAGAGUAGGAGAGAGAGACAGAACAGGAGAGAAAUAGCUGGCUGCCAGGGAGAGAACGAG
ensembl:lncRNA